rnacentral:rRNA from 1 species
CCUACGGGGUGCAGCAGUGGGGAAUCUUCCGCAAUGGACGAAAGCCUGACGCAGCGACGCCGCGUGAGGGAUGAAGGUUUUCGGAUCGUAAACCUCUGUCAGCAGGGAAGAACGGUCACUGUGGUAAUUAGCAGUGAUUUGACGGUACCUGCUAAGGAAGCAACGGCUAACUACGUGCCAGCAGCCGCGGUAAUACGGAGGUGGCGAGCGUUAACCGGAAUUAGUGGGCGUAAAGCGAUCGUAGGCGGUAUAACAAGUCAAAGGUGAAAUCCUCGCGCUCAACCGGGGAAUUGCAUUUGAAACUGUCGAACUUGAGUGUGUAAGAGGAGAGUGGAAUUCCAGGUGUAGGAGUGGAAUGCGUAGAUAUAUGGAGGAACAUCAGUGGCGAAGGCGACUAUCUGG